AACGAACGCUGGCGGCAUGCCUAACACAUGCAAGUCGAACGAGACCUUCGGGUCUAGUGGCGCACGGGUGCGUAACGCGUGGGAACCUGCCCUUCUCUUCGGAAUAACUCCCCGAAACUGGUGCUAAUACCGGAUAAUGUCUUUGGGCCAAAGAUUUAUCGCCGUUGGAUGAGCCCGCGUUGGAUUAGCUAGUUGGUAGGGUAAAAGCCUACCAAGGCGACGAUCCAUAGCUGGUCUGAGAGGAUGAUCAGCCACACUGGGACUGAGACACGGCCCAGACUCCUACGGGAGGCAGCAGUGGGGAAUAUUGGACAAUGGGCGAAAGCCUGAUCAAGCCAUGCCGCGUGAGUGAUGAAGGCGUUAGGGUUGUAAAGCUCUUUCAGCCGGGAUGAUAAUGACAGUACCGGGAGAAUAAGCGCCGGCUAACUCCGUG
rnacentral:rRNA from 1 species